GUAGUCCUGUAAUAACCAAGCAUUGAAUUCUGCACAUUUGCAAGAUGGUUCAUUCCAUGGCAAUUCUGCAGAGAAAAUUCAAACAAUUUAUGUGAUGUAGAAAACAAAUGAUUACAAAGAAUGAAGAUAUUCCUAUACAACAACAAUUAAGGUCAAGAGAAUCUCACCACCUGAUGCAUAUUCAAGAAACAAGAAUUGUUGGUCACCAUCUGUUCUACUUCCAUAAAAACGUAUAAUAUGGACAUCUUGCAACAUGCGAUGAAUACAUAUCUUGAAGAAAACAACAGUAAAAUAAAAUUAAUCAAUCAAUAAAUAAAUCUAUGGACAAAGGCCAACUGGAGUCAAGAUCUAUAUAAUUAAAAGGAUAAAGACAUGCAUAUAUCUCAUUUUUGAAACAAAUUAGUAACAUAAGAAAAAUCUAGAGCAUACGACUCUGAUGAAAUAAAUUCGAAAAGGUGACAAAUCAGAAAUAUUCAUAGCAAAUAAAAUUUCCUGAUGAA